rnacentral:rRNA from 1 species
CAGUAGCCGCGGGAAUACGUAGGGUGCGAGCGUUAAUCGGAAUUACUGGGCGUAAAGCGUGCGCAGGCGGUUAUAUAAGACAGAUGUGAAAUCCCCGGGCUCAACCUGGGACCUGCAUUUGUGACUGUAUAGCUAGAGUACGGUAGAGGGGGAUGGAAUUCCGCGUGUAGCAGUGAAAUGCCUAGAUAUGCGGAGGAGCACCGAUGGCGAAGGCAAUCCCCUGGACCUGUACUGACGCUCAUGCACGAAAGCGUGGGGAGCAAACAGGAUUAGAUACCCGCGUAGUCCCUGUCUCUUAUAC